AGCGAGGUAGAGAAGCCUGGUUAUCUCGCAGGGCUCAUAACCCUGAGAUCCGAGGUUCGAAUCCUCGCCUCGCUA
rnacentral:tRNA from 1 species